AUUGAACGCUGGCGGCGUGCUUAACACAUGCAAGUCGAUCGGUAACGCGGGGGCAACCCUGGCGACGAGAGGCGGACGGGUGAGGAACGCUUGGGAAUCUGCCUAUCAGCGGGGGACAACCGGGGGAAACUCGGGCUAAUACCGCAUACGCGCUACGGAGGAAAGCCGGGGACCGCAAGGCCUGGCACUGAUAGAUGAGACGAAGUCGGAUUAGCUAGUUGGCGGGGUAACGGCCCACCAAGGCGACGAUCCGUAGCUGGUCUGAGAGGACGAUCAGCCACACUGGGACUGAGACACGGCCCAGACUCCUACGGGAGGCAGCAGUGGGGAAUAUUGGACAAUGGGGGAAACCCUGAUCCAGCGACGCCGCGUGGGUGAAGAAGGCCUGCGGGUUGUAAAGCCCUUUCGGUAGGGACGAAAGCUCUCGACCUAACACGUCGGGAGGUUGACUUAGCCUACAAAAGAAGCACCGGCUAACUCUGUGCCAGCCGCCGCCGUAAUAC
rnacentral:rRNA from 1 species